UACGUAGGGUGCAAGCGUUGUCCGGAAUUAUUGGGCGUAAAGAGCUCGUAGGCGGUCUGUCGCGUCUGCUGUGAAAACUCAGGGCUUAACCCUGAGCUUGCAGUGGGUACGGGCAGACUAGAGUGCGGUAGGGGAGACUGGAAUUCCUGGUGUAGCGGUGAAAUGCGCAGAUAUCGGGAAGAACACCCGUGGCGAAGGCGGCUCUCUGGGCUGUAACUGACGCUGAGGAGCGAAAGCAUGGGGAGCGAACAGG
rnacentral:rRNA from 1 species